UCUCAGGCUUGUGUAUGAGUUUUUGAUAUCAUUCUGCACUUUAUCAGAUCAGAUGCUAAUCAAAUUCUAGCCCCAAGUUUAGGCUUAAUUUUUUUUUUUUAAUCUCAAGGUGUUCUUGAUUCAAUCAGGCACACCCUUGAUUCCCCUGUCCUGGAGCUCUGCCCCUAGUUUUUGGUAAAGAGAUCCUGGGGAAACUCCCCCUGAGAACUGGGUCCUCAUUUCAAACCCAGCCUGGGAUUCCUGGUUUUACUCUGGACACUGGAGGAUCAGUCCACUUCAGCACAGAUUGCUCUUGACUGGCACUCCAGACUUCUCCACAGUUACAUAUAGAAAUAAUUUUUGAGAGUUGAACUUGGAGUUGAACUGGAAGAUCAGUCACUUGGACUUGGAGAGAAGAACAGUCACUUGGAGCUAGAGGGAAGACAGACACUCGAGGAGAGACUGGAACACAGGCACUCAGACUUGUAGUGAAGACACUUGGCUGUGGAACUGGACCCCUGGAGGAGCUCUUGCAGGAGACCUCAGACCGCUUUCCUUUUAGAUGUGCAAUGCAAUGAUCCAGGACAAUUCUAAGGGACUUAUGAGAAGGAACAUCUUCCACAUUCAGAGGAAGAACUGUGGGAGUAGAAACCCAGAAGAAAAGAAGUGAGAUCGAAAAAGGAGCACAGACUUCAUCUAUAUAGUGCUAUAGAAGCACGGACUUCACCUGAAUAGUGCCAAAAAAAGAGCACACAGAAAAAAAGAAAAGAAACCAAUCAAGGUGGGAUUGAUGAACUUCUACGCCAAUAUGAAAGGACUUGAACCUAGUGUGAGACUCAGGGUUGCAGCAUGUUAAGAUGCAGGGCUCCUUGAAACACACUCCUUGUAAAAUAAUUUCUAUCAAAGUACCUAAAAAUUGGCUGUUCUGGCUCCCCUAUUCGUGAGAGAUAAUGAAAGAUCAUACAAGGGAAUGACACUUUCCUUUUACACAAAAAUCUAGUCCUUUUUUCUCUCUGAAAGUAUAGAAACUUCCUACAGGACUUAUAAUGUGCAAAUACAGUAUUAUUGCAUUUUUUCCCUACACAUUUGUGGGAUAGAAAUUGACUUUAAUUGGACCCUAAUACAAGAACCUGUUAUGAAUUUAUUCUUGUUUUAUUCAGAACUUUUGUAUACAUAGACUUUUGAUAUUUUGAAUCUGAAUUAAAUUUUUUUUAUUUCUACCAAA
rnacentral:lncRNA from 1 species